CUGUGUUCUCCCACAUACAAUUUGCUCCAGG
rnacentral:piRNA from 1 species